UGGGGAAUAUUGCACAAUGGGCGCAAGCCUGAUGCAGCCAUGCCGCGUGUAUGAAGAAGGCCUUCGGGUUGUAAAGUACUUUCAGCGGGGAGGAAGGUGUUGAGGCUAAUAACCUCAGCAAUUGACGUUACCCGCAGAAGAAGCACCGGCUAACUCCGUGCCAGCAGCCGCGGUAAUACGGAGGGUGCAAGCGUUAAUCGGAAUUACUGGGCGUAAAGCGCACGCAGGCGGUCUGUCAAGUCGGAUGUGAAAUCCCCGGGCUCAACCUGGGAACUGCAUUCGAAACUGGCAGGCUAGAGUCUUGUAGAGGGGGGUAGAAUUCCAGGUGUAGCGGUCAAAUGCGUAGAGAUCUGGAGGAAUACCGGUGGCGAAGGCGGCCCCCUGGACAAAGACUGACGCUCAGGUGCGAAAGCGUGGGGAGCAAACA
rnacentral:rRNA from 1 species